GACGAACGCUGGCGGCGUGCCUAAUACAUGCAAGUUGAGCGCUGAAGGUUGGUACUUGUACCAACUGGAUGAGCAGCGAACGGGUGAGUAACGCGUGGGGAAUCUGCCUUUGAGCGGGGGACAACAUUUGGAAACGAAUGCUAAUACCGCAUAAAAACUUUAAACACAAGUUUUAAGUUUGAAAGAUGCAAUUGCAUCACUCAAAGAUGAUCCCGCGUUGUAUUAGCUAGUUGGGGAGGUAAAGGCUCACCAAGGCGAUGAUACAUAGCCGGCCUGGGGGGGUGGUCGGCCACAUUGGGACUGGGACAACGCCCAAACUCCUACAGGAGGCAGCAGUAGGGAAUCUUCGGCAAUGGACGAAAGGCUGAACGGGCAACGCCGGGGGAGUGAAGAAGGUUUUCGGAUCGUAAAACUCUGUUGGUAGGGAAGAAAGUUGGUGAGAGUGGAAAGCUCAUCAAGUGACGGUAACUAACCAGAAAGGGACGGCUAACUACGUG
rnacentral:rRNA from 1 species